rnacentral:lncRNA from 1 species
GGUGCAGUGGAGUGUGCAGGAGAAGCUGUAUGGCUCUGAGGAGAUCGUGUCAGCUGGAGCAUCGAUUGUAGCGAGUGUUGGUCUAGGAGCGCUGCAGUUUCUCUAGGGAGGAAGUUCAAGAUCAGUGAUAUAGCUGCCAGGCAAAAAGGGGUCUAUAAUCUCUAGGAUGGUGUAAAGAAGCAAGCUAGAGUCUUUAGCUAUUGAGGCGAUCAUCCCAAAGGCCUCUAAAGGAGCUCGGCAGCUAAGGAGGGAUGGCAGAGGCAAUGGUUGCAAAAGGGACUGUUAGGGUGCACAUCGACAGCAGAUUCAUGUAGGAGGAUGUUGUCAGGUGUGCCAAGACUUGGGUGCACCAAGAUGGAGAUUGUAGAGAUUUGUGGUGCUCCCAAGCCUUGGGAGCUCACGGGUGGAGUCAGGAUAUUGGCUCUAGGAGUCUAGGACUGAGUUGGGUCCU